UACGUAGGCAGCAAGCGUUGUUCGGAGUUACUGGGCGUAAAGGGUGUGUAGGCGGUUGUUUAAGUUUGGUGUGAAAUCUCCCGGCUCAACUGGGAGGGUGCGCCGAAUACUGAAUGACUAGAGUGCGGGAGAGGAAAGUGGAAUUCCUGGUGUAGCGGUGAAAUGCGUAGAUAUCAGGAGGAACACCGGUGGUGUAGACGGCUUUCUGGACCGUAACUGACGCUGAGGCGCGAAAGCGUGGGGAGCAAACAGG
rnacentral:rRNA from 1 species